UACGUAGGGGGCAAGCGUUAUCCGGAUUUACUGGGUGUAAAGGGAGCGCAGACGGUUGUACAAGUCUGAAGUGAAACCCCACGGCUCAACUGUGGGCUUGCUUUGGAAACUGUGUAACUUGAGUGCCGGAGGGGUAAGCGGAAUUCCCGGUGUAGCGGUGAAAUGCGUAGAUAUCGGGAAGAACACCGGUGGCGAAGGCGGCUUACUGGACGGCAACUGACGUUGAGGCUCGAAGGCGUGGGGAG
rnacentral:rRNA from 1 species